rnacentral:lncRNA from 1 species
AUGCAGGUAGGUACUGAAAAAGUACUGCAUUUUUUCUGCCGAGGAGGUACUGAAUUUCGUGGGAAUGAACUGGGAAAAGUACUGAUUUUUCGCCAGCCUGUUUUAAUAGACACCCUGGUCAUCGUAAGGUUGUUGCUAAACAUCUGGAAUUUCAAUGAUGGUUUCAGAAAUCACUUCUGUGCUGUUUCCUCAUUGGGAAAAAACGAUGAUGUUUUAUCAUUCAAUUUUUUUACUGCAAAUUUGAUGCAACUUUACCAAAUAUCUUAGAAUUUAGAUUUUGCCAUCGGUUAAUUUAUUUUUAGACAAGGCGAAGAAAUGGUGCUGAGUCCGCACCAUUUCGCGGGGAAAAUAAAGCCAAGAAAUUCCGAAAAUAUUUCAAUUGGAGUCAAGACAAUUUUUGCUCUAAUGCGCACCAUUACAAGAAUGAGGGGGGGGGGGGGGGGAGUGCUCAGCUCAGGCAGCUGUCAUUGAUAUAGAUAUUAUGUUGAGGUCACACCGAGAGAUCUAGGUAUCCCUACCGGUUUGAUUCUUCUUAGACUCAUCGCAGUACCUAGAUCACUCUCGUCGGUGAACCCAACUUAGCAUCCCGCAAAAUCCAAGAUACGGCAUGAAAACGCCGUCAUGAAUAUGAUGCCGCAAUCACACGCUGAAUUUGGCAGCUGAAUGUGGCAGUCAACAUUCAGCGCUCAACAGCUGAAAUUUCACUUAUUCGGAUUAUUUUCAUCCAAAUGUGUAUCAAAUCUAUUCGAAUAGUUCAGACAAAUCCGACAUUAUCCGAUGGUCGCUGAGAUUCGUUGCUGAAUUUUGCGCGCCACGCGCAAAAUUCAGGCAUCGGGCCAAUGACUUCUACAUUCAAGCCACAUUCAGCUCCCACAUUCAACGUGUGAUUGCGGCAUGACCCGAAUAUGAAGGCGUAUUCAUGCCGUCUUUUUGCGGAUGCUAAGUUGGGUUCACCGAAGAGUGUGAUGUAAGACGUGUUUUGUUCGAAACAACAAAAUGUUUCCGUUUUUUUCUUAUUUUUUACGCAAUUCUGAACAACCAAUGAGAGAGCAACUUCCAAUUUUAGGUUAGAAAACAGCGUUGCUUUUUUGAACAACAUAAAAAGGACUUGCUUUGAGCAGGUUGCAGUUGUUGUACAACAAUGUUGCUUCACGAAUUCCAAAGUUUUGCGCGCGAACAUCAGCCCCGCCCCCACAACACAAAACAACUUCGAGCUAAAGCCAUGGAUAGACGAUCCAAUUCCGAACCAAUUCCGAUCAAAGUAGACAUGCUGAUGACUGGUGGUCACCAUCUACCAUCAAAUUUUGACGGGCCGCACUUUUUUGCUCAAAGUAAGAUCAGAACGGAGUGCCGCCAUUCAUCAUUUCCUGCCACACGAAACAUUUCUGCCAAGUUUUCAUUUUAAAAUGAAGCAAAUUAAUGAGUUUAAGACUGAUGACUCCCGACACUUUGAUGCUACUUCGAUCGGAAUUGGUUCGGGAAUUUGAUCGUCUAUCCAGGGCUAAAUGCGAUUGUUGCUUGUUUUCACAACGUGUUGCGAGUGUUGCCUCCGAACAAAGUACGACUCUACUGAUGAGGUCCAAAAAGACCCAAACCGCCCACACCGGUAUACAUUUCUGAGCGUGACCUCAACCUAAUAUUCGAAUACAAUAAGCUGCCUGAGCUGAGCCCCCCCCCCUGCAAUGCUUUGUAUUCCCCGCAAAAUGUUGUUGACCCAGCACCAUUUCUUCACCCGCUUAGGUACAUACAAUUCGGGCCAAUUUUUAGUGUUUUUUCUUGUCUAUUUUUAGACAUACGUUUAGAUUCAUUCAUAAUAUAUAAGAGUUGAUAAGAAUGAUGCUAAGAACUAUAGAUACAUGUCUCUUUUGUGAAUAGAUAAAAGGUAUGUAAAUAUGAUCACUGUCUCCAUAUUGUAGAAUAAACAAAUAAUAAUAUUAAAAAUCUUUUGAAGAAUGUGUCAUGAAAGCUGAAGAAGUAUCAAAAUUAUUAUUUGCGGUCUAUCUCAUGGAUUGAAUAAAACUGUACUUACCAAUGAUGAUGUGUGUAUACUAGAACAUAAAUAAACGUUUUAUCGUAAAACUUCGUUCUCGAUUAGUUCAUUCGUCUUCAAAGAAAAAACAAACCUUAGUUUUUAACUUAUAAAUUAGAGAAAUAGUUUCUUCCAUGGUAAAAAUUUCGUCAUGCCGUGGUGCUUUUCUCAGGUAAUUCUUUUUUUUUUUAUUUGUUUUAGUAUUUAAUUAUUUUCUGACCAUGAAAAAGUCCCGGGUAGCUACUGAAUAUCUAAUGAAAAUGGUCCUUGGCGGAGACCCUGACGGCAGACUCCGUGUCCUACACGAGUUUUCAGCAUAUGAACCGAUAAUUUUUCAAAUCACGUGAGCGCCAACAAUGCGAAAGCGAGAGAAGCGAGAAAAAGAACUUACGUUACUUAUCCGUUUUAUUCGUUUUGCCUACAAUCUUCGAAUUCCAAAAAAUGUAUUGUAGUGUUCCGCCUGCGGCAACCCUGCUCCCGCCAC